GGAACUGGAGAGGGAGGGGUCUGAGGUCAGUCGGACGCGGCGCUGGAAAUCGGCGGAGGGCCUAGAGGUAGCGGGAGCGAUCUGUGGGCGGGGCGAACGGCCUGCCGGCCGACGGCUCCCACAUCAGGGCGUGAAGGAGCCCACGAGUUACCGUGGGAGCUGUGGGAGCUGCCCUGUGACUGUUAGGAAGAUGCCGUACCUUGGCUCCGAGGACGUGGUGAAGGAGGUGAAGAAGGCUCUGUGUAAUCCUCACAUUCAAGCUGAUAGGCUGCGCUACCGGAAUGUCAUCCAGCGAGUGAUUAGGAUGCCUGGUGUGCAGGAGUAUAUACAACAGCCUAUUCUCAACGGUCUGCGGGAUAAGGCUUCAUAUGUCAGGAGAGUGGCAGUCCUUGGAUGUGCCAAGAUGCAUAAUCUUCAUGGAGACUCUGAAGUAGAUGGUGCCCUGGUAAAUGAAUUAUACAGUUUGCUGCGUGACCAGGAUCCAAUUGUAGUUGUGAACUGCUUGAGGUCUCUAGAGGAAAUUCUGAAACAGGAAGGAGGCGUUGUCAUCAAUAAGCCCAUUGCUCACCAUCUCUUAAAUCGGAUGUCAAAACUGGACCAAUGGGGCCAAGCUGAAGUAUUGAACUUUCUGCUACGCUACCAACCCCGCAGUGAGGAAGAACUAUUUGACAUUCUCAAUCUGUUGGAUAGUUUCCUCAAGAGCAGUAGCCCAGAUUUUAACAGAGUUGCUGGGUCUUCGACAAGAGCACAUUACCACAGUGGUGGUGCAGACUUUCCGAGACCUGGUUUGGUUGUGUCCUCAGUGUACUGAAGCUGUGUGUCAGGCCCUGCCCGGCUGUGAAGAGAACAUUCAAGAUAGUGAGGGGAAGCAAGCACUUAUUUGGCUACUUGGUGUCCAUGGGGAAAGAAUUCCUAAUGCUCCUUAUGUGUUAGAGGACUUUGUUGAGAAUGUGAAGUCGGAAACAUUUCCAGCUGUUAAG
rnacentral:sRNA from 1 species